CUUCCUCACUGUUCAAUUUUGGUAUUCAAUGCUACAGCAUCUUUUCAGCCUUACACAAGUUUAGCAAUUUCUUUGUGAUUAUGGAUCAUUAAAAGCAGUGUUCAUUCAUAAAAAAUAAGCACUUAACAUUUUGCAAUCUCUAAAUAUACUUCAGUGAAAUAUACAGCAUCCUUUUUGGCCCCCAAAGACUAUAAAAGCAUCUUCACUCACAGAUAUUUAAAAGAAGGGCUAAAAAUAUUCAAGAAAAUUACAGUGCUUUAAGUGUUAAAAAGUAAAACACAUUUCAGCAUGCAAACGAACAAGAGUUUCACUCCAAAAUGCUUCGCUCCUGUGUCAAGGGACAUAAACACAUGGUGUGAACAAGUGGCAAUGUUUAGGGAAAUACUGCAAAACUAAAUCUUUUCCAUGUAGGCCAAAAUGACUUAUCAGCCAAGCUACUGGAUCAGGCAACUAUUUUUCUAUAUCAUAUUUUUAUGAAUGUGAGGAACUUAUAAACUCAAGGGCAGAACAAAUGCAGACACUAGCACUUAACCUAGGCAAACAGAAACAUGGAAGGAAGCAUCAUGGGAGGUGAAUAGGUUAGGCUUUCUUUCUUCUGUCAUCCCCUUACCAUUUGGAUGUUUCCAUCCUCCAUUCUGAGAAAUUAUGUGUUCCCCUGCAAUGAAGGGAGGUUUCGUCUCCUUUCAGCUAUCACAUUCACCUCGUUCAGAAGGUUUGCUUUGCCCAAAUCCUUUGACAGGGAGUGAGUGAAAUCUCAGCCCCAUUGAAGUCAGUGGGAAAUUUGCCAUUCACUAUAAGGGAGCCAGGAUUUUGCACAACGUUUAUAUCAGUAGAAGACCAGACUGAAUCUAGUGCAGUGUUUGUGAAGUGCUUUGAAGUAGAGAGUGUUACAGCACUGAAAUUAUUGCUAUUAUUAUUAUUGCUGCUUAGUGCACGACAGAGAAGAAAGGAAGAAAACCUCUGAAUGAACUGGAAGGAAAUACUGAUUCUGCAGAUCUUAGAGAUUCCUCAUGUUUCCAGUUUUGUCUGAGGUGAGUAUCAGAAUAAACUUUGCUAUAACAGUUUAUAUGGAUAAUCCAACUUCAUCUUUCUGAGACAGCAGCAGCAAAUCAAAGCAGAAUUUGCGUCACUGUAUUUUUAAUUGUAGACUUUUGGAUACUCUAAAAAUGCUUCCUGAUGAACGCAGUAAUUAAACAUUUGCAAUUAACUUAUUCUUUUGCUGAGUACCAUCCCAGUACUGUGAUGUAAUUCAUUUGUGCUUUUUGACCUUAAGGAAGCUUUGGCAGAUGAAGCCAUGAGAUGUAUUCUCACAGAUCUGCCCUGUUACCUAAUGUUGCCUAAUGCUGCGUUAGAGGAGUGUGAAAAUAAUUUACAUAUAAAUAUAAAAUCAAUUCUAUACAAAGCACUCUGAACAAAUGUGCUCUACUGUAUGCUCUAAAAAAAAACCUAAACAACAUUUUGUUUGGCUGGAAAUGCUUUGAUAAACAGCAGGUCUCAUUGAGUGCAACACUGAAAUGCUCUAAUGAAUUCUUAAUGCCUUAAGUUGUCUAACUGGAUCUUAUUACAAAGAAGCUGAAGACACAGAAGCAUGAUGUUUCCUCCACUGGCACAUUUAAGAAAUCAACAGAGACAUGCCAAAAAAAUGUUCUGCUUUCAAAACAAGGCUCCAAGACUGUAGUGGGGGGGGGAGAAAAAAAAAGGAAAAAAAAAAAAGUGGUUUAUCGUGGUUUCUAGAAUUAAACUAUUGCUGUUGAUAUGAAACCCAUAUUACCAUUUCCUCAAGCUGACUUCACUUUGUUCUGCAUUCUACCUCUCUGUUGGUAUGAUAUUGCAUCUCCGACUGGCUGGCAGAUGGCAGAAACUGAUCAGUUUUGGCGACAAGCUAAAGGUCAGAGAACUCUAAUUGCACAAACAGUAGAAGGAAAAUUCUCCUAUUAAAUUAAAGGUGCAAUUUCCCUGUGAAGUUACAACACAGUUUUCAAUACAAGGGUGUGCUUCAUUGACAUCUGUUGUUGCACAGGUCUACAGAGUGCACAAGUCUUUCUAUUCUGUUCAAUAACAUGUACUGAUUAAUGAGAUUGAAGAGAAUGUUCACCUUAAUUUUUUUGUCUCCAGUACAGUACAUUGCAUUAUUAAUGCAAUCUGUGUGUCACAGGUUAUAAACACAGCAUGAAGUUCUUUGCAAGAGGAACAGAGGAAUAAAUGCUAAGGACUCCUCAAGCUUUCUGUUCUUUGCCUGGCAACCCAUCCAUUGGGCUUUCAGAAGCCUCUCAGCUUGCCUGGAGGCUUCUAUUGCUGGAACAACCUAUGUAUUAUCAUCACCACCAAAACAAUGGGGUUGGCUGCAGGCAGAGUGGUAGCACAGUGCCCAAGCAGAGAAAAGAGCCCCAUAGAAAGCGUGCAGAGAAGUGAAUGUGAAUAGUGUAAGUCAAGGGGUCCCACAGAGCAUUAAUGCACGCUGGGGUUGCUGUGCCAGGGCUCCACUCAGUGAGCUGCAUCUUCUGGCAAAGUGACGGGGAAGCGUCAGGGCUGGCUAGAAAGCCAAGCUGCUCACUCAUUUUCCUCAUGUGAAGGAGAGGAGGAGCUUCAAGCACACAUACAUAAGAACUGCUUCCACAAAAAAAAAAAAAAAAAAAAGUGGUGCUUCUUCACGUAAUGUCUUUUCUGAGCACAGUGAAGAAGGUCCCAAAGUUCAUCUGCCCAUAGAUUUCCUUGAAUGGGAAGCAACACGUGGAAAGUGGAUGUCUUCUUCCCAGAAUACACUCCGGAGUGUUUGAGUACGUACCUCAUCCUCCUCCACGUUUGUUUGUUUUAUCCAUCUGCUAUUGCCCCAUAUUUAAUUAUGAAUUGAAAGCAUUCUUCUGGAGCUGCACUCUGAGCUUUUUAAACUGAAGUGUUUGAAUAAGGCCUGUCACUACAGGAAGGAUGUAGAGGGCAUCACAUUCCCCAGCUGCCUCACAUCACCCUUUCCCCCUCCCUGCACCUCAGACCGUGAUGCAAACUGAGAGAGCUCUCAGCAGCUGCUGCCUCUUCCCUCUUCCCUGCUGAGCAGCUUCCAGGUGGGAGAUGAAGCAAGGAGUGACUUUAGUGCAUGCUUUCCAGUGCUUUCCAAUGACACACUACUAGAGGAUGGAUUCCUCCAUCCUAUACAGCUGGGAAGGAAAGAGAGACAAAAAUUUGAAAAAGGGUUCAUGUGGCUCCCUGAUUCUCCCUUCCCCAGUCACAAUGCCUGGUUAAAGAAAU
ensembl:lncRNA